AUUCAUACCCAGCUCCCAACUAGUGAUUUUGUAAUGGAAAAAUCGUGAGUCUGCUCCUUGGUGGAGACUUUCACAUUAUAAUGGAACAGAAGUAACUGUUGGACAAGGGGAAGGUCAUUUCCUGCCAACCUGGCUUGCACAGGACCAUCCCAUUUAUCAGCUAUGCUGCUAUAUGUUUGAAACUGCUGCAUGUUUGAACUUUUCAGUUGAGAACACAGAAUGAAUUAUUCCUCAAAGCGUUCCUGGAUCCUGAUUCCAUGGAGAUAGGGAACUUUGCUCCAAGAGCAAGUGAUCAACUCUGAUCAAGUGGAAAUCCUUGCUUAGGUCAUAAUGCAAAAUUUAAAAAGCAGGAAAAUAUUAUAAAUAAAAGAUGACCUAAUUCUGUUAAAACCAAACUUACUGGCAUGAGAAUCACUACAAGAAAAAAUCAAAAUGUCUGUAAUGUCAAUAUUUGGAUGACAUGACUAUAGAUUUGUUUUCAAAUCUCUAAAUUUCUACUACAAAUUUCAUGGUUUUUUAAUUGAAAAAUGACACAAUUUAAGAAAUUGUUGCAAAGAAAUAAUCCAGAGGCUAACGUCAAAUUUAUUUAAAGGACAGCUGAACUUUAAUUUUCUUUUGUGGGGCACCUGGGCAGCUCAGUUGGUUAAGGGUCUGACUCUCGAUUUUGGCUCAAGUCAUGAUCUCACGGUUCCUGAGUUUGAGCCCCAUGUCGGCUCUGUCAGCACAAAGCCUGCUUGGGAUUCUCUCUCCCCCUCUCUCUCUCUGCCCCUCUCUCU